rnacentral:rRNA from 1 species
AUGUUGGCCACUCACGAGGCUAUGGAAUCGGUGGAGGCCCCAACGCCCAUCUUGGAUUCUGAUCUGGUGGGGCCCGUGUCUGAGACUAGUAGGGGUGGAGAUGUGACUACGUUGCAUGCCCAUGCACGCACUAUACCCACGUCCAUGGUGGGAGAUAUUGGAGAAGAAAGCCUUAAUCUGGCAGAAACAACUAUCACUACCAACCUCUCCUCCAAAGAGCUAGCAGCCCUAACUAGCAUCAAGUCUUUUUGCUCUGGGUUCCUCAAGAAACUAGCACCGCCUCUAUUACGAGAGAUCGAAGUUGCUGCAAGCCUUGGGCAUUGCCCCGGACGAGUUGGCGAUCUCGGAGGAAUCGCUUGA